GACAGAGGGUGCAAACGUUGUUCGGAAUUACUGGGCGUAAAGCGCGUGUAGGCGGCUAAGUAAGUCGGGCGUGAAAUCCCACGGCUCAACCGUGGAAGUGCACUCGAAACUGCGUAGCUAGAGUCCUGGAGAGGAAGGUGGAAUGCUUGGUGUAGAGGUGAAAUUCGUAGAUAUCAAGCGGAACACCGGUGGCGAAGGCAGCCUUCUGGACAGUGACUGACGCUGAGACGCGAAAGCGUGGGGAGCAAACAGG
rnacentral:rRNA from 1 species